rnacentral:lncRNA from 1 species
AGUGAUUAGGAACGCUUGAGCAUGCUUAAACUUAGUCAGCGAGUCACUGUUCUCUUAGCACUUAACCCCUCUUAUAAUCUUUCAUCAUGUUUUUCUUGUUAGUAUUACUAUGACAUUACGCCCAGACUUUAUAAAACUUUUGGCUUCGCCACUACUAAAAGACGAAGAUGACGAACCUAUAAUCUAACAAUGGAUGGAUCAACUGGAACGGCAGCAGGGGCGGACCACAUGGAUCUACCCAUCUAUACUAUUUUUUUUCAAUAUACACUUGAGAUGAGAUCAAAUCCGAUUACAAAUAGCCAAAGAGUUAGGGUUCGGGUGUACGGUUCCCCAUAAGAACGCAGGAGAAAAGGUACACAUACCCUGUGGGUGCUCGUCGCCGGCGACGGAUGCGACGAAGACCAGGGAAGGGACCGACGAAGGCCUGGUCACCUGGCGUUGGCGUUGGCGUCGGUGGCCGCCCAGUUGCGCAAAAGGGAGGGACAGAGCGUGAGAAGUGGGAAGCGAGGACUGAGGAGUGGGGACUGAGGCCUUGUUCAAAAUCCAAAAUUUUUCAAACACAUAUAAUUUUAUGGUACAUAUAUAAAGCAUUAGAUAUAAAUAAAAAAUAAUUAAUUAUACAGCUAUAAUUUGCAAUAUAAAUUAUUUGAGCCUAGUUAUUCUACGGUUGAAUAAUAAUUAUCAAAUAUCUACCCAUCUAUACUAUUUUUUUUCAAUAUACACUUGAGAUGAGAUCAAAUCCGAUUACAAAUAGCCAAAGAGUUAGGGUUCGGGUGUACGGUUCCCCAUAAGAACGCAGGAGAAAAGGUACACAUACCCUGUGGGUGCUCGUCGCCGGCGACGGAUGCGACGAAGACCAGGGAAGGGACCGACGAAGGCCUGGUCACCUGGCGUUGGCGUUGGCGUCGGCGGCCGCCCAGUUGCGCAAAAGGGAGGGACAGAGCGUGAGAAGUGGGAAGCGAGGACUGAGGAGUGGGGACUGAGGCCUUGUUCAAAAUCCAAAAUUUUUCAAACACAUAUAAUUUUAUGGUACAUAUAUAAAGCAUUAGACAUAAAUAAAAAAUAAUUAAUUAUGCGGC